CCCUAGUUUUAAUGGAUUUGAAAAAGGCAGAAUAGCCUGGGAGACACUUGUACUUAUUUCGGUUUGUCAUCUCGGUCCAUGUAUUCCAUAAAAUUUCAUCCACAUACUUUAACUUAAUCAAAACAAGAUUUUUAAACUCGUUUGACCGUUGACCGAGCUUAUAUGGCAUAAAUAUAAUUGAGAUGGACAAAAUAUUUGGUAUGCACGCGCCUAAUGAGCGUGAAAUGGUGGUUCAAUUAGAAAAAUAGAAAAAAAUCAAAAAGUGACGGAAACAAAAUGUAUAACAAUUUAUAUCAUCUUCUUACACAGGAGCCUCUUCCAUUUUGGCUCCAGCAUUGUUGCCUUCUUCCAUUCCACAUCCAGAUAAUGUAGAGAUGCAGCAUUGCACAGUGUUGUAAUUCACUUCUGAAAUUCCUACAACUUAUGUGCAGUAAACUACCCUGUAUUUCUCACCAAAGGAUGCCAUGGAAGAAGACCAAAAAUAUGUUCCAGAAAGGGAAGUCUCCAACAUAAAUAAACAUAAGAGGCAAAUAAAUAAAUUACCCUGUCAAUUCUGUGAAAAGGCACAAGCUCCAUCCCACCAAAUCCAAGAAAAGAACAGACGCAAUGUAAGAAUCUCCUAGUCAACUUGGGGGGUUACAUUUUGGGGGAAAACUAGAGUAGAAAGAAAAGGUUAAAGGGAGAAGGAAACUUUGAAGGAUGAAAA
rnacentral:lncRNA from 1 species